GAUGGAGAACGCAGCGAAAUGCGAUAAGUAGUGUGAAUUGCAGAAUUCAGUGAAUCAUCGAAUCUUUGAACGCACAUUGCGCCCUUUGGUAUUCCUUAGGGCAUGCCUGUUCGAGCGUCAUUUAAACCUUCAAGCUAAGCUUGGUGUUGGGUGACUGUCCGCUUCACGGCGGACUCGCCUCAAAAUUAUUGGCGGCCGGUACAUUGGCUUCGAGCGCAGCAGAAACGCGAACUCGGGCCCGUCGUAUUGGCUCCCAGAAGCUAUCUUCACAAUUUUGACCUCGGAUCAGGUAGGGAUACCCGCUGAACUUAAGCAUAUCAAUAAGCGGAGGA
rnacentral:misc_RNA from 1 species